CCGGAGAAUGUUAUCACGGGAGACACACGGCGGGUGCUAACGUCCGUCGUGAAGAGGGAAACAACCCAGACCGCCAGCUAAGGUCCCAAAGUCAUGGUUAAGUGGGAAACGAUGUGGGAAGGCCCAGACAGCCAGGAUGUUGGCUUAGAAGCAGCCAUCAUUUAAAGAAAGCGUAAUAGCUCACUGGUCGAGUCGGCCUGCGCGGAAGAUGUAACGGGGCUAAACCAUGCACCGAAGCUGCGGCAGCGAACGUAUCACUUAAAGCGAUUCAGCGGGUUACGAUUGACGGAGCGAAGCGACGUCAAAGCGUAUACAAAGUCGAGUCGGUUUAAGGAUACGUUCGUUGGGUAGGGGAGCGUUCUGUAAGCCUGUGAAGGUGUGUCGUGAGGCAUGCUGGAGGUAUCAGAAGUGCGAAUGCUGACAUAAGUAACGAUAAAGCGGGUGAAAAGCCCGCUCGCCGGAAGACCAAGGGUUCCUGUCCAACGUUAAUCGGGGCAGGGUGAGUCGACCCCUAAGGCGAGGCCGAAAGGCGUAGUCGAUGGGAAACGGGUUAAUAUUCCCGUACUUGGUGUUACUGCGAAGGGGGGACGGAGAAGGCUAUGUUGGCCGGGCGACGGUUGUCCCGGUUUAAGCGUGUAGG
rnacentral:rRNA from 1 species